GGCCCCCUACGGGAGGCAGCAGUGGGGGAUAUUGCACAAUGGGGGGAACCCUGAUGCAGCGACGCCGCGUGGGUGAAGGAGUGCUUCGGCAUGUAAAGCCCUAUCGGCAGGGAAGAAGCAAGACGGUACCUGACUAAGAAGCCCCGGCUAACUACGUGCCAGCAGCCGCGGUAAUACGUAGGGGGCAAGCGUUAUCCGGAUUUACUGGGUGUAAAGGGAGCGUAGACGGCAUGGCAAGUCAGAUGUGAAAGCCCGGGGCUCAACCCCGGGACUGCAUUUGAAACUGUCAGGCUGGUGUGCAGGAG
rnacentral:rRNA from 1 species